UAGGGUUUUGGUGUGCCUAUAUAAGCCUAGCAGCGAAUAGGGUUAAGCCGCACCAAUUCAAAAUCAUCGACACUCUCUCGAAGUUAGGUUAGGGUUUAGGGUUUUCCUUCAAUUUUUCGCAAAAUGCUUCUCCGCACGAUGCCUCCCGGGCCUCUCUGAAAUCCCACAUGACGUGAACGCCCCGAUGCACGUGCGAAAUUUCCGCCGUUCGUGUUGCAAUUUAGCCCCAAUUUUUUCCACGGCUGAUCUGUGUCAAACUUCUUUUCGAACACCACCACGUGUUCUCUGAAAACGGAGCUAGUCCUAAAGGCGCAAAUUGAAACGCGGUCGUUUUCACUUUGGGGGGCGAGGGUGCUUCCUUUGUUCCUCCGAAAACAGCCAUCACAUAACUUACUACUCAAUUUAGGGUUUAUUUAUUUGUUUGUCUCGGAAUUUCUCGGCGAUGAUAUACCUUAUCCGCGCUUCUGAGUUUUCUCGAUGAAGCACAGUUGGUUAAAAUUUGGUUGAAUUUCUUGAUAUGAGCCCUGCUUUGUGAUUAAAACAUGUUUUUUAUGUUUAAUUGUUUUCAAUUUUACCUUACAUGUGGUUUGCUUUAUCAAUCAUUGGCUAUGAGGAUACAUAUAUUCAGCUUUAAUGCCAGUUCUGCUUCUGAAAAUUUGUGAUUGAAAGAGCUGUUUAAUAUCUCUGAGCCUCUCGAUGAUGUUAUAUUUAACAUUUUUGUUUUUUUUAAUGAAUUUUUAUUGAAAUAGGGUAUUAUUUUUAAUACUUGACAUUUAUUAUUAUGUGAUUUGGUAUUUGGUGUAUAUGAGAUUGCUGAUGAUGAUAUAAUCCACCUUGUUUGAGAUGUUGUGGAGCCAAGACCCUGUUUACAGGGAGAACCUCCUUGGUGAAGCUACAUUCAUAUGAUAUCAAUGGAUUUAACUGAGGCUUUAUGCUAUGAGAAAGUAUACCCUUGAUUUAACAAGGAAGCCUUAUACCACUAGGAGAAGUUGUCUACAUGGAUUAUAUGAUGUCAUUUAACACGGUUAAAACCCAAAGCUUCCGAUUAUUUAAUCAUACAUCUCCCUUGAUGAUUUCUUCCUAGUGAUAUUUUAGACUAAUAGUAUUUCUGAAUGACUUCGAAUUUUACAUAUAGUUUUUGUUUACCAUUUUGUAUCUAAGAAAUUAUUCCUUGUAGCUUGCUAGAAAGUUACCUAUUGUAAAUUCACCAAUGAUGUUACAAUCCAACUUGUUAGGUUGUAGUUGAUCCAAGACCCUGUUUUCAGGGAGAACCUACUUGGUGUUACUACAUUUCCAAUGACAGCGACGAUUGAACUGAGGUUACCUAGUAUUUAUAUAUUUGCUUGUGUUUAUGGUGUUUUGGUUAAAUUUUGAUUUUUUUUUUGAGUUUCACUAUACCCUUUUCUUGAAUAAUUGGAUCUGGGUCUGAAAAACUCAAAGAUUGAGUGUUGUCAUCAGCUUCAUCUCUUGUUUAACCCACGAGAUAGGAGUUAAAUAACAGCACUACAUAUGUUUUAGAAACAUUUUAUAACAUUUUGUGGAUGUCUUUGCAUUUUGCACUAUUUUGAAUGCUUGAUCUUGAAUGGUUAGUUAUUUUUUUUGUUAAAUUUAUUCUAUUGUAAGUGAGUUUUCUGUUGUCUUCUCAUGAUUACAAUUUGUGAAUUAGUAAUCAGUAUUCCUGUAUUAUUCAUAAUGUAUACUUUUAAUGAAAUUCCGAACUAAUGCUAUUGAUGUAAAUUACUUUGAAGUUUUCUGUGACUCAGCGGUGCAAGAGGAAGAGGUAUGUACAAGAGAUGUCGUGCAGUAUCUUUGUAGGGAUAAGUGAUUGAAGGUUGUGAUGUGAGCUUUGCCUUGUGGUUAACAAACCAUGGAGCCAUUAAGUCAAUUUAGAAAUUAAUAAAAAAUUGAAAUAAUGAUAUUAUGUAAAAAAAUUCAUAAGACAAUUUUUUUAUAUGUA